GCUGUCGUGGGCUUGGUUUCCGUCUCAAAAUUCCAGGAUCAAACUCAUAACUUUGACUGGGCAUGCGGAGGUUCGAAUCCUCCCGGCAGCA